rnacentral:rRNA from 1 species
CGGGAUUGAAAUGUAGGAGUUAGAUGAUGAGAGUCAUUGUCCCUUCGGGGCUCCUAUGUAGGUGCUGCAUGGUU